UUUUAUUCAAUAACGGAGGAAAGGAACCAACAGGGAUUGCCCUAGUAACGGCGAGUGAAGCGGCAACAGCUCAAAUUUGAAAUCUGGCGUCUUCGGCGUCCGAGUUGUAAUUUGCAGAGGGCGCUUUGGCAUUGGCAGCGGUCCAAGUUCCUUGGAACAGGACGUCACAGAGGGUGAGAAUCCCGUACGUGGUCGCUAGCCUUUACCGUGUAAAGCCCCUUCGACGAGUCGAGUUGUUUGGGAAUGCAGCUCUAAAUGGGAGGUAAAUUUCUUCUAAAGCUAAAUACUGGCCAGAGACCGAUAGCGCACAAGUAGAGUGAUCGAAAGAUGAAAAGCACUUUGGAAAGAGAGUUAAAAAGCACGUGAAAUUGUUGAAAGGGAAGCGCUUGCAGCCAGACUUGCCUGUAGUUGCUCAUCCGGGUUUCUACCCGGUGCACUCUUCUAUAGGCAGGCCAGCAUCAGUUUGGGCGGUUGGAUAAAGGUCUCUGUCAUGUACCUCCUUUCGGGGAGAACUUAUAGGGGAGACGACAUGCAACCAGCCCGGACUGAGGUCCGCGCAUCUGCUAGGAUGCUGGCGUAAUGGCUGUAAGCGGCCCGUCUUGAAACACGGACCAAGGAGUCUAACAUCUAUGCGAGUGUUUGGGUGUCAAGCCCGAACGCGUAAUGAAAGUGAACGGAGGUGGGAACCUUUCGGGGUGCACCAUCGACCGAUCCUGAUGUCUUCGGAUGGAUUUGAGUAAGAGCAUAGCUGUUGGGACCCGAAAGAUGGUGAACUAUGCUUGAAUAGGGUGAAGCCAGAGGAAACUCUGGUGGAGGCUCGCAGCGGUUCUGACGUGCAAAUCGAUCGUCAAAUUUGGGCAUAGGGGCGAAAGAUAUCGACUUAAUGAGUC
rnacentral:rRNA from 1 species